GGAGCAGCUCCAUGCCACUGAAUGGGGCUUUUUUUUGCUUCUUUGAGACUUAAAGAGUUGUUGCCUGAAGGAUGCUUUGCCUCAAGGAUGCUUUGCCUUGGGCUUCCUUCAAGCAGAUCUGCCACCAAAACGGGACAAGAACGGGUUGACCGGAGCCAGUGUCGUGCUGGAAAGUGCUCCAAAGCAGGACAGGGAGACGCCUGCUAAGCUCCUGCACUGGCACUUCUCCUCGGUCUCGCACCGGCUGUGACACUYGUGGGACACGGACCUGCAGCGUGACAGAGGACACUGUGACCCAGCACACAGCGGUGACAGGAGGCACGGUCCUCUCCUUGCUGUUCCCUUCAUCUUUGCUUGGCCCGUGUCGGGACCGCGAGCCGGAGGCUGCACGGGGCAGGAGCCAGCUGGUGCCAUAUGGCCGUGUGACCUGCCAAGCACAGAGCGGCGCGGCGGCCCGAUGAGGGCUGCACGGCCCGGCGCCCCUCUGGGCACUUGGGUGCUCCCUCUGCAAUCUCCCCCCUUCGCCAUGUUCCUCUUCUUGGGGCUGCUUUUCCAGCUGCACAAUGUUGGGACGGUGUUGGAGGACUUGGGAGGGACGGGAUU